UAGCAGGUUUCCAUACCAAGGCUCAAUCCAAUCAAGUCCGUAGCGUCUA
rnacentral:tRNA from 1 species